rnacentral:rRNA from 1 species
GUCGACGAUUAAAGCUUCUUCGGAAGUGUAUAAAGUGGCGUAAGGGCGAGGAAUACAUUUCUAUGUACCCCGAGGUCGAGGAUAGCCCAGAGAAAUCUGGUGUAAUACUCGAUGUGGUCUCCGGAUCAAAGGCUUCGGCCGCCUUGGGAGCAGGGAAUGUCCUAUCAGGUUGUUGGUGAGGUAACGGCUCACCAAGCCAAAGACGGGUAGCGGGUGUGAGAGCAUGACCCGCCGCAUCGGGACUGAGACACUGCCCGGACUCCUACGGGAGGCUGCAGUAACGAAUAUUCCGCAAUGAGCGAAAGCUUGACGGAGCAAUGCCGCGUGUAGGAUGAAUCUUCUCGGAGUGUAAACUACUGUCAGAGACUAGGAACUCAAUGACCAAUCUCAAAGGAAGGGCCGGCUAACUUCGUGCCAGCAGCCGCGGUAAUACGAAGGGCCCGAGCGUUAUUCGGAAUCACUGGGCUUAAAGCGUGCGUAGGCUGGUAUAUAGGCGUUUUGUGAAAUCCCUCGGCUCAACCGAGGAACUGCAGAGCGAACCAUAUAUCUUGAGACAGACAGAGGUCGUCGGAACGAUUGGUGGAGUGGUGAAAUGCGUUGAUAUCAAUCGGAACGCCGAAGGAGAAGUCAGGCGACU